rnacentral:rRNA from 1 species
CCUACGGGAGGCUGCAGUCGAGAAUCAUUCACAAUGGGGGAAACCCUGAUGGUGCGACGCCGCGUGGGGGAAUGAAGGUCUUCGGAUUGUAAACCCCUGUCAUGUGGGAGCAAAUUAAAAAGAUAGUACCACAAGAGGAAUAGACGGCUAACUCUGUGCCAGCAGCCGCGGUAAUACAGAGGUCUCAAGCGUUGUUCGGAAUCACUGGGCGUAAAGCGUGCGUAGGCUGUUUCGUAAGUCGUGUGUGAAAGGCGCGGGCUCAACCCGCGGACGGCACGUGAUACUGCGAGACUAGAGUAAGGGAGGGGGAGCCGGAAUUCUCGGUGUAGCAGUGAAAUGCGUAGAUAUCGAGAGGAACACUCGUGGCGAAGGCGGGUUCCUGGACAUUAACUGACGCUGAGGCACGAAGGCCAGGGGAGCGAAAGGGAUUAGAUACCCCAGUAGUC